rfam:Triticum aestivum genome assembly, contig: Triticum_aestivum_CS42_TGACv1_scaffold_112698_2AS
GGAGUACUCCCUCUGUCCGAAAAAGCUUGUUCCAGACUUGCCUUUCAAAUGAAUGUAUCCAGCACUAACUUGAUGCUAGAUACAUCCAUUUGAGGAAUAAACUUUUUCGGACGGAAGAAGUACAUG